AGGAUACUGUGGAAUGCCUUCAAAAAGCAUAGUGCAGUUAGAUGGGCACCAAGCAUUGACAUGUGAUGGGCACAGUUGUUCCUAGCACUCAGAUGGUCAGAGACAAUUAAAGGGCUACAGUAUUGGCACCAUUUGCUCUUUGCUGGCUACCCAAAGUUUCACAUCCUGAGCUAAGUAUUACUGUUUUCUGUACUAUCCCAGGAAAAUAACUAACACUAAACAGCUGUUACUAAUAGAUGAACACACACAUGUGGAAAAAGUCCUCAAGGACAAAGCUGUUCGGAUGAAUAGCACAAUUAAGUCCUGAACUUCUCCAUGGAAUCAGUUUAUAAUCCUUCUGAAGAAGGAAAUCUGGAAGAGUCCAUCAAGCACUGCAUUAUGCUCCCACAUAGAAGACCUGGGUUUGGCAGCAGCUUUAGGACGCCUGCUGCUGACAGGGUUAUGUUACAUUUAAUGGGUAAGGCGGUUUAUUGGUUUGGGUCUGAUUGUUUCUUGGCUGGCUGAGUAAUAAGACCUUCCUUUUCUCAUAGGAGAAUGGAACUACAGUGGUUCCUAACACAGAGAUUCCCAUUACAAAAAUGCUAUAUUCUGCUGGCUAUAAUGGAUGCUAUCUGGCAGGUCUCACCACAACAGAUGCCUCAGAACCCUUAAGAGUUCUGUCUGUAGUGCCAAUCAGCAAAUGCUUCUGCACCAGAAUCUGGCAGCUAGAUUACCUAUGGCAGUUAAUGCCAGGCCUUCCACAGCCGAUACUGACUGGCUUCGAGGCAUCUUCUUCAGGGACCUUUUUGAUGGAGAAAGCAUCUCUUCAUUGAAGAGGUUCCGUCGCACCUUUGUCACCUCUGAAAGCACGAGAAAGGGCAAAAAAUCUAGUGCGCAGCUCCUCCAACUGAUCCGUCUCAGUGCUUAGGGAGGCUGUGCUGUGAGCUGGGACUGAUGUCACAGAUGGAGGAAGAGUUGGCGAUCUGCUAUCCAGAGUCAUAGAGUCAUCACUGAAGAAGUCUGCAGGCAGAACAGAUGCCAACUUCGGAGGAAUCUGCGUACCCAGACUGUAGUAAAGACCCCCAAGGGUCUUCGGUAUGGAGUCCAUAUAUCUAGAAGGUACCACCAGAUAUACAAUAUAGGGAUAACAUUUAAUAUUUAAUCAUCACCAUAAAGCACUUACGAUACUAAGACUUCCUCAAGAAACUUUGUAAGAUACCCUGGGUCUUCAGUGAGAGACAAAAUGCGCAGCAUAUCGGUCAUCUGUAAGAGAAGAUCAGAUGGGGAGAAGUGUCACAGAUCAAACACUCCAAGACCAGCCUUAUGGUGUGAGCAAAGAAAAUUGGGCUGGGAAAGCUACGUGAUCCAGGUCAACAUUUCCAUUCCCAUCUAGAAGCCCAGCCCAGCCCUAUUUACUUGCCUCCUCCACCAGUUGCUCCAUUUCAUCUGUGCUGCUCUGUAGCGAGGGACACUGCAGACACAUCUCAAGGCGCAGAAAUACCUGAAGCUGACACCUACACAGAAAAAGAUUGACAUCAUACUGUUGUCGGAGGGUUUUGCUGGUCUUCAGGAGAUGACUUCGGACUCCGUCCAGACAGGCCACCUGCAAAUACACAGAAACAUAGCACAGGGGCUCCAAGCUUAUCAUCUGAUCUCCUUAACAGCUUCUGGGGUACCUUCUCACCAGCUGCUGGUGGCACUCCAUCUGGCUGAAACUUUUGAGCCUUUACAUUCAGCCUUGCUACAUUCAACAUCUGCAGGGAGCGGGACAUGGUCUUCAUCUUCUGCCUGACGGGAGUCCGGGGAACCCCCCCUGCAGGAUCACAAAAGGUUAAAUUCUCAUCGGGCACAGAGGAGUUGGAAUUCAGACAAGACACCAUCCAGCAGAACACUGGCACCACAAGACAGGCCAGAUGCUGCAUUGUUAAAAUACAUUUUUGGCUGUUUAAAAUGUAAAUUUCAGUACAGCAACGUUAGCUUCCUUCAGCACAGUGAUGGGGCAAUAAGAAUUCAGAACGUGAGGGAAAGACUCAGGCAGGUGGUUCUGCCUGUUUCACUAGGCUCAGCCUCCUUUUUGAAGAGUGGAUCUCCAGUUCACCUAGGAAGGAACAGAGACUGCUAACUGUUUUCAGUUAGCUUGCCACAUUAUGAUCUUGAAACGUAUGCAAUACACAUACCCAACGUAAUCGUAACGUAUAGGUACACUGCUCUCAAACAAUUAUUCCGGGCACCUGGCCUUUGGACUGUGCUCAGUGCUUUCUACAAGAGAAAUGGUACUAGAGGGGCAACCCCACUAGUGAUUCAAAAAGGAGCCAAGGAUGUUCGAUAGAGAGUACCACCCUUCAACUACUGCAGGAUUCCAGCCAUCUGUGCAGGACAGUUCUUGCUGGACCCAUUCUGGAACU